AGAGUUUGAUCCUGGCUCAGAAUGAACGCUGGCGGCGUGCCUAACACAUGCAAGUCGAGCGAGAAAGCAACUUCGGUUGUGAGUACAGCGGCGAACGGGUGAGUAACACGUGGACAAUCUACCGUCGAGUGGGGAAUAACCAGAGGAAACUCCGGCUAAUUCCGCAUAAUUCCAUCAUUCCUUGGAGUGAUGGGGAAAGGGGGCCAAUUCUUGAAAGCUCCCGCUCUUCGAGGAGUCCGCGUCUGAUUAGCUAGUUGGUGGGGUAAUGGCCUACCAAGGCUUCGAUCAGUAGCCGGCCUGAGAGGGCGAUCGGCCACACUGGAACUGAGACACGGUCCAGACUCCUACGGGAGGCAGCAGUGAGGAAUAUUGCACAAUGGGCGAAAGCCUGAUGCAGCAACGCCGCGUGGAGGACGAAGGCUUUCGGGUCGUAAACUCCUGUCAGUAGGGACGAAAAGGUUUCGGAUAAUACCCGGAAUCUCUGACGGUACCUGCAGAGAAGCCCCGCUAACU
rnacentral:rRNA from 1 species